rnacentral:rRNA from 1 species
CUACCGAUCCAAGAGGAUGGCAUUUCUUGGAACCUGACCACUAAUGGAGCUUGCUCUUUGGCAUCGACCUACGCAACACAAUUCUUCGGCUCCCAUCCGAGGUUCAACUAUUCGAAGGCCUGGUCUGCCCCCGCAGAGCCUAAGUGCAAACACUUUGUGUGGCUUCUCCUGCACGGAAGAAUCCUCGCCGCUAACAGGCUGGCUCUGAGGGGUUGGCCGCAUGACCCGAGAUGCCAACUAUGCUCUUUCAGGAGCUUGAAACGUCAACCCACCUUUGCAAGGAUUGUCCCUUUUCUGUUGCGAUCUGGAACUAGGUGA